rnacentral:tRNA from 1 species
GCGGAUGUAGUUCAGUGGUAGAACCCCAGCCUUCCAAGCUGGUUGUGCGGGUUCGAUUCCCGUCAUCCGCUCCA